rnacentral:misc_RNA from 1 species
GAUGAAGAACGUAGCGAAAUGCGAUAAGUAGUGUGAAUUGCAGAAUUCAGUGAAUCAUCGAAUCUUUGAACGCACAUUGCGCCCUGUGGUAUUCCGCAGGGCAUGCCUGUUCGAGCGUCAUUGACACCCUCAAGCUCUGCUUGGUCUUGGGCGUUUGUGCCUGCCGUUGCGCAGGGACUCGCCUCAAACUCAUUGGCAGCCUGCCUUUGCCGGUCUUUGCACAGCACAGUCGUGCCAAAGCCGCGGUGAGCAGGCGCUCCACAAGCCCUUUUCAGCUUGACCUCGGAUCAGGUAGGAAUACCCGCUGAACUUAAGCAUAUAAUAAGCGGAGGA